AGUGAACGCUGGCGGUAGGCCUAACACAUGCAAGUCGAACGGCAGCACAGUAAGAGCUUGCUCUUACGGGUGGCGAGUGGCGGACGGGUGAGGAAUACAUCGGAAUCUACUUUUUCGUGGGGGAUAACGUAGGGAAACUUACGCUAAUACCGCAUACGACCUACGGGUGAAAGCAGGGGAUCUUCGGACCUUGCGCGAUUGAAUGAGCCGAUGUCGGGUUAGCUAGUUGGCGGGGUAAAGGCCCACCAAGGCGAGGAUCCGUAGCUGGUCUGAGAGGAUGAUCAGCCACACUGGAACUGAGACACGGUCCAGGCUCCUACGGGAGGCAGCAGUGGGGAAUAUUGGACAAUGGGCGCAAGCCUGAUCCAGCCAUACCGCGUGGGUGAAGAAGGCGUUCGGGUUGUAAAGCCCUUUUGUUGGGAAAGAAAAGCAGCAGGUUAAUACCCCGCUGUUCUGACGGUACCCAAAGAAUAAGCACCGGCUAACUUCGUG
rnacentral:rRNA from 1 species